AGGUCAAAAUGUCUUUUGAUGUAUGAUAAUCCUGCAUAAUAUUCUGAUCAAGUGGAGGAAGACUAGAAACCAAGGAUACAAAAGAAAGUGAAUGGUUCAACCUUGGCGUAUCUGGAAACAAUGAAGAGGCCUCAUUAUCAUUUAACUGUGAGGAGGGAUGUAAGUCUUCAUCACUGACAUCAAUUCUAUGCCGUUUUAAACGCUGUUCAAGGAUAGGUGGAGAGGUGGAGAGGUAAUUGUUAGAGCGUUUAACAUUUUGGCUAUCAAUUUGAGUUAAAGGUAGUAAGAAAGAGGAAGAAGGUGAAGGUGAACUCUGCAUAUUGUUUAUAGUGUGCACCCCAUUCUUUGAAGACUUGCUAGGGUUUGAAAAAUUAUGAUUCCUCAAAGGGGAUCGCGUAUUAAAAGAAGAAGUAUUUAAAUUUUUGGAGAUUGAAGAACUUUCGAUUUGUUGCUGCUUUGAAAAUUUGGGGAAUAAAUCAAGAUUAAAAGAAAUUAAUGGUUGUAAAAUUUCAUAAACCCCAUAUCGCUUUGCUAUAGAAAUUGCUCGAUCAUAUGGAACCCAUA